rfam:Archaeon 13_1_20CM_2_51_12 13_1_20cm_2_scaffold_316, whole genome shotgun sequence.
AGCUCAGUGGUAGAGCAGCGGACUCGGCUCGUGGCUGAGGCUGAAGCUGUUAAAGUGGAACGUCCACUGUAGCAACCCGUUGGUCACAGGUUCGAACCCUGU